CUGCAACAGAAGAUGGUGGAAAAUUGAGUACAUGAAUGAGAAAAGGCAGAGGAUCAUAGUCAUGAGACAGGCCCUAGUUGAUUGGUCAACUGAAUCAAAGUACUUGUUAGAAGAGGUGUCUAAGAUGUACAUCUGAUGGGCUACAAUGUUAGAAAUGAUAGUGUAUAAAUGCUUCAUUUAUCUUAUGGGCCACAAUGUUAUAAAUGAAUGAUAGCCCAAAAACUAACCCAUUAGAUGAGUUGUCUAGCAUGAUAUGUGCACCAUGGAACCUUCAUAUGGACAUUUGUGCAAUACAUCUUCUUCAAAUGACCAAAAGCAUGCAGUCUUCUGUUCUUCUUACCUUUGUGGUUAAAAACUAUAUUUUUGUGAUUUUGGUGUAGUGUGAUUGAAGUUAUUCCUUCACCAACUAUUAGGUUUAUCCUUGUUAUACACUUGUGCACUUGUCUACUCCUUUUCUUUAUCUUAUGUUGUUGUGUGGUUUUUGGAGUGGUCAUGCAGGUAGGCAAACAUGAAAUGCUUGGUUUUUCAUGCUUCUUGAUUAACCAGAUCUAAAAGGAAAAUGAAAAGAAAGAAUCAAAUCUUAGGGUGCACCAUAGUGAAGAGCAUCUUUCUUGCUUGGAGGCCCUGAUAAUGUUAUAUAAAUGACAGGCAGGCGGGGUAUGCUAGUUAAGGCUACUAGUGGAAAAG